CUGGCUUGGGACAUGCAUCUUACAGCCUGGUUUGCUGCCAGGAUCCCCCAGGACACUCUCAAAAAAACAGAUCUCUAGGCUCCCCCGAAACCUUUGGAAAUAUUCUUGAGGGACCAAACAAGAAGCAGAUACUUCCGAGAAGCCCACCAGGUGAAUCUGACGAUGAGCCCAGGUGUGGAAUCUCAGGCAAGGCCUGGUGGAAAAUCCGUGGUCUGCGAGGAGAGCUGCCUGGGAACCCGGCACGACGGGGAGACACUUGAAGGAGGGGCACAUGCGCCAGAGGUGAAGCUUUGCCCUCUCCAGCACAGAGUGGGCCGUGAGCUGUCCGCCACAAAGGCGGAGAGAUGAGCUGUGGGAGAUGAGUGAGCCGGAGCAGGG
rnacentral:lncRNA from 1 species